rnacentral:rRNA from 1 species
GACGUAGGGGGCCAGCGUUGUUCGGAAUUACUGGGUGUAAAGGGUUCGUAGGCGGUGUAGCAAGUCGGGAGUGAAAUCUCUGGGCUUAACCCAGAGGCUGCUUCCGAAACUGCUGUGCUUGAGUGUGGGAGAGGCGCGUGGAAUUGCAGGUGUAGCGGUGAAAUGCGUAGAUAUCCGGAGGAACACCGGUGGCGAAGGCGGCUUCCUGGACCGACACUGACGCUGAGGCGCGAAAGCUAGGGGAGCAAACGGG